rnacentral:rRNA from 1 species
UACGAAAGGAGCAAGUGUUAUUCAGAUUAACUGGGCGUAAAGCGCGCGUAGGCGGCUAUUCAAGUCAGAGGUGAAAGCCCGGGGCUCAACCCCGGAACUGCCUUUGAAACUAGGUAGCUAGAAUCUUGGAGAGGUCAGUGGAAUUCCGAGUGUAGAGGUGAAAUUCGUAGAUAUUCGGAAGAACACCAGUGGCGAAGGCGACUGACUGGACAAGUAUUGACGCUGAGGUGCGAAAGCGUGGGGAGCAAACAGG